AGCAGCCGCGGUAAUUCCAGCUCCAAUAGCGUAUAUUAAAGUUGUUGCAGUUAAAAAGCUCGUAGUUGAAUUUCGGAAUCAAUAUGUCGGUCGUGCCUUCGGUACGUACUGGUAUCAUUGGUUUCUCCUUUCUGACGAACCAUGAUGUCAUUAAUUUGGUGUUAUGGGGAGUUAGGACUGUUACUUUGAAAAAUUAGAGUGUUUAAAGCAGGCUUUAGCUUGAAUACAUUAGCAUGGAAUAAUGAAAUAGGACGUUCGAACCUAUUUUGUUGGUUUCUAGGAUCAACGUAAUGAUUAAUAGGGAUAGUUGGGGGCAUUAGUAUUCAAUUGUCAGAGGUGAAAUUCUUGGAUUUAUUGAAGACUAACUACUGCGAAAGCAUUUGCCAAGGAUGUUUUCAUUAAUCAAGAGCGAAAGUUAGGGGAUCGAAGACGAUCAGAUACCGUCGUAGUCUUAACCAUAAACUAUGCCGACUAGGGAUCGGAUGAUGUUAAUUUUUAAUGACUCAUUCGGCGCCUUACG
rnacentral:rRNA from 1 species